AGCGAACGCUGGCGGCAGGCCUAACACAUGCAAGUCGAACGGAUCCUUCGGGAUUAGUGGCGGACGGGUGAGUAACACGUGGGAACGUGCCCUUUGGUUCGGAACAACUCAGGGAAACUUGAGCUAAUACCGGAUGUGCCCUUCGGGGGAAAGAUUUAUCGCCAUUGGAGCGGCCCGCGUCUGAUUAGCUAGUUGGUGAGGUAACGGCCCACCAAGGCGACGAUCAGUAGCUGGUCUGAGAGGAUGAUCAGCCACACUGGGACUGAGACACGGCCCAGACUCCUACGGGAGGCAGCAGUGGGGAAUCUUGCGCAAUGGGCGAAAGCCUGACGCGGCCAUGCCGCGUGAAUGAUGAAGGUCUUAGGAUUGUAAAAUUCUUUCAGCGGGGACGAUAAUGACGGUACCCGCAGAAGAAGCUCCGGCUAACUUCG
rnacentral:rRNA from 1 species